rnacentral:rRNA from 1 species
GUAGGUGGCAAGCGUUGUCCGGAAUUAUUGGGCGUAAAGCGCGCGCAGGCGGUUCUUUAAGUCUGAUGUGAAAGCCCACGGCUCAACCGUGGAGGGUCAUUGGAAACUGGAGAACUUGAGUACAGAAGAGGAAAGCGGAAUUCCACGUGUAGCGGUGAAAUGCGUAGAGAUGUGGAGGAACACCAGUGGCGAAGGCGGCUUUCUGGUCUGUAACUGACGCUGAGGCGCGAAAGCGUGGGAGCAAACAGGAUUAGAUACCCUGGUAGUCCACGCCGUAAACGAUGAGUGCUAAGUGUUAGGGGGGUUUCCGCCCCCCUUAGUGCUGCAGCUAACGCAUUAAGCACUCCGCCUGGGAGUACGGCCGCAAGGCUG